GACGAACGCUGGCGGCGUGCUUAACACAUGCAAGUCGAACGGAAAGGCCCGGCUUUUGUGGGGUGCUCGAGUGGCGAACGGGUGAGUAACACGUGAGUAACCUGCCCUUGACUUUGGGAUAACUUCAGGAAACUGGGGCUAAUACCGGAUAGGAGCUCCUGCUGCAUGGGGGGGGUUGGAAAGUUUCGGCGGUUGUGGAUGGACUCGCGGCUUAUCAGCUUGUUGGUGGGGUAGUGGCUGACCAAGGCUUUGACGGGUAGCCGGCCUGAGAGGGUGACCGGCCACAUUGGGACUGAGAUACGGCCCAGACUCCAACGGGAGGCAGCAGUGGGGAAUAUUGCACAAUGGGCGGAAGCCUGAUGCAGCAACGCCGCGUGCGGGAUGACGUCCUUCGGGUUGUAAACCGCUUUCGCCUGUGACGAAGCGUGAGUGACGGUAAUGGGUAAAGAAGCACCGGCUAACUACGUG
rnacentral:rRNA from 1 species